GCCAUGACUAGCGGCGCGAUUCGCCCUUAGAGUUUGAUCCUGGCUCAGGAUGAACGCUGGCGGCGUGCCUAACACAUGCAAGUCGAACGGACUCUUCGGAGUCAGUGGCGGACGGGUGAGUAACGCGUGAGAAUCUCCCUUCUGGAGGGGAACAACCGUUGGAAACGACGGCUAAUUCCCCAUGUGCCGCAAGGUGAAACGGGUUUCCGCCAGAAGAAGAGCUCGCGUCCGAUUAGUUAGUUGGUGAGGUAAAAGCUCACCAAGGCAGCGAUCGGUAGCUGGUCUGAGAGGAUGAGCAGCCACACUGGGACUGAGACACGGCCCAGACUCCUACGGGAGGCAGCAGUGGGGAAUUUUCCGCAAUGGGCGAAAGCCUGACGGAGCAACGCCGCGUGUGGGAAGAAGGCUCUUGGGCUGUCAACCACUUUUCUCAGGGAAGAAGACCUGACGGUACCUGAGGAAUCAGCCUCGGCUAACUCCGUGCCAGCAGCCGCGGUAAUACGGAGGAGGCAAGCGUUAUCCGGAAUUAUUGGGCGUAAAGCGUCCGCAGGGGGCGCAUCAAGUCUGCUGUCAAAGGUCGGAGCUUAACUCCGGUGUGGCAGUGGAAACUGGUGCGCUAGAGGGCGACAGGGGUAGAGGGAAUUCCCAGUGUAGCGGUGAAAUGCGUAGAGAUUGGGAAGAACACCGGUGGCGAAAGCGCUCUACUGGGUCGCACCUGACCCUCAGGGACGAAAGCUAAGGUAGCGAAAGGGAUUAGAUACCCCUGUAGUCUUAGCCGUAAACGAUGGAUACUAGGCGUGGUUUGUAUCGACCCAAGCCGUGCCGAAGCUAACGCGUUAAGUAUCCCGCCUGGGGAGUACGCACGCAAGUGUGAACUCAAAGGAUUGACGGGGCCCGCACAAGCGGUGGAGGAUGUGGUUUAAUUCGAUGCACGCGAGACCUUACAGGCUUGACAUCCCGCGCAUCCCAUGAAGUGGGAGUGCUUCGGAACGCGGAGACG
rnacentral:rRNA from 1 species